rnacentral:rRNA from 1 species
UACAGAGGGUGCAAGCGUUAAUCGGAUUUACUGGGCGUAAGGGGCGCGUAGGCGGUUGUAUGAGUGUGAUGUGAAAGCCCCGGGCUUAACCUGGGAAGCGCAUCGCAAACGAUACAACUGGAGUAGAUGAGAGGGUGGCGGAAUUUCCGGUGUAGCGGUGAAAUGCGUAGAGAUCGGAAGGAACGUCAAUGGCGAAGGCAGCCACCUGGCAUCAUACUGACGCUGAGGCGCGAAAGCGUGGGGAGCGAACAGG